rnacentral:tRNA from 1 species
GCCGACUUAGCUCUGUAGGCAGAGUAACUGACUUGUAAUCAGUAGGUCACCAAGUUCGUUUCCGGUAGUCGGCA